AAUCGGAUCUGACCAGAUUCUUCGAGCCUAAAAGCUGACUCUCAUCGUCUUCUGCCUUCCUUAAGCCUCACUGCCUCUCCACGUGACACGAAACUUGCCUCCGUCCUCCGUUAGAAGAGCGCCAGAGAGUGUUUACGACCGCCGCAAAGAAUAAGCAUAUCGACUUUGGGUGUAGACGAAGAGGAAAAGAGCAAAAUAAAAUGAGAGAAAAGGGGAAGAGAGCGUCCGGCGCCAGGAAGCGGCUGCCGGAACAAAAAAUUCUUCAGGCGGCUAGGGUUUUUUAAAGAGAGUUUCUGAGAGAAACGAGAGGAAAAAAGUUUCUUAGAGAAACGAGAGAAAAAGAGUUAGUGACGUUUGUUUCAUUUUCCUAUUUUUUUAUUUGAACGAAACUGUUUGUAUAACCAGAUAAAUAAAAAAUAAAAUUUUGUUUAUUCUCAACUUUCUCGUAUCUUGAAUUUAAACCACUUUUCCAAAUACAAGAACCUAAUUUUUCGAUUGAUUCUAAUAUGAUAUGUCCUACAAGGACCCAAAUAAAAAAUAUCAAUCGACCAGGAACAGUUAACAGAUUCGUCGGAAUAGCAGUGUGGACCCAACGAGAGAUGGAAGAGGAAGAGGAGAGAUGGAGGAGGAGAUGGUUGGAAGAAGAAGAAAAGAGCGAGAGCUGUGACUUCUAUGACACAAGGAGAGAUAAAGGAGGAGAUGGUGGAAAGAGAGGGAAGGACCGUAUUAGGGAAGAGAGAGACAUGAAGAUUAAAACUUUCUUCAGUUUCUUCUCUGCCAUUUUUCACUAAAAAGGUGAAGUAAAAAAAGAAAACGAAUUGGUGUUAAUGGGGACCAUUUGUGCUAUCUAGUUAGUGGGGGACCAAACUCAUUUACGUUUAUGAUAAGUGUAUAGAAUUUUUUUUUUUUAAACCAUUAGAUAUGAGGAUGCAACUAGAUCGUGUGGUUAGAGUUACUUGCACUUUUUUAGUAUUACCUUAUCAAUUCCUUCUAUUUCUGUAUAUUAUAGAUUUUAACAUAUUAAAGAAUAUAAAUAAAUAAAUUUGAUAUCAUAAAUUAUAGAUUUUUGUUCUCUACAUUUUAAGAUCUAUUUUCGUAUAUUUUUGCAAUCUUAAUAUGAAAAAAACAUAUCAACAAAAAAAAUUGUGGAAUAAGUGUUCGUGGACAAAUAAAAUAUGGACAUAGAUAUUGUGUGUAUAGAAAAAAAUGUGGACAUGAACUCAGUAAAUGCAUACAAAAAAUAGACAUGAUUUAGUGUUGAUUUAAGAAAUGUGGUCUCAUAUUAACUAAGAUCGUAUUUUAAUGUUUUUGUUAGUGGAUGAGAUCUAUUUUUUAAAUGAUUGGUUAUUUAUUUUAUUAUUGUUUAUACCACCUAAUGUUUUCAAUUGAUUGUAUUUCAAAUUUUAAUAGUUAUAAAAUAAAUAUAAUUAUUACAAUAAUUUAUAUAUAAAAAUUUAUAUUUUUGACAUCUAUUUAUAUUAUAUAUAUUAUAUAAUAUAAUCGUCCACGUCCACAGAUUUAGUUCAUGUCCAUGCCACAAUUGUCUUUUGUAAAUGUUGAUAUAUAUAUAUAGGCGCAUGUAGAUAAAAAUUUGUAGACGAAAUUUUUUUCAUUACUUGAAAGAGAAAACAAAGGUUUGGAGACAACGACUCAAACCAGAUAAAAGACAAAACAUGAAAAAGACACAGACCACUACGUGUCAACAGCAUCAACUCUCGAGCUUUAUGACCUCGUUAGACUCUCUUCUACGAUCCUGUCACGUAGCCAACAAAAACUUUCAGAAGCUAUACGAUUGGUAACCGUGUUGGUAUGUGACAGUAUCUGCAAUUUAGAAAAUAUUUGAUUUUCCAAUAAAUAGGUAAUAGUUUUGAAAUCAGUUAGUUCUCUGGUUAGACUAGUGAAAUUUAGAUAGUAAUUGGUUAGUUCUCUAGUUAGAGUUAGAAGGGAACGAUUGUAAUUUGGUCUGGUUUGAAGGCAUGAAGGACAAUGCAUAACAAUAAAGUGCCUCACCAACAACAAGUGUUUAUAUGUGUAAUUCAUAAGUCAUAAUGUGUUCCGGAAAGUAAAAAAAUCUAAAAAUUACUGAUUCUGCUUAUAGACCAAAGAAGUAUUAUUUUAGUCGAGAAUUCCACCCUUUUAGAAAAAGGCUAAGUCGAAGAAGCACACUUACUGUUCGACGAAAAGCCUGACAGAGACGUAGUUGUCGGACCAAUUAAUUAUAAGCCCAAUGGGCUGAGUAAUAAUUGGGUAUGUGAAUAAAAAAUCGUUUGCAAGCCCAAUAGGCUGAGUAAAAGAUUGAUUUUAUGUGAAUGAUUAUGGGGAAUAUUAGACUCAUUCUGCAAGCCAAAGAGCUGAGUAAAAUUGAUGUUUGGGCUUUUAUUUUUUUUUUAAAAAUUGAGAAGCUUGAUGGCCAAGUUAAGCCAAAUUGGUGGCCAAGUUAAGCCAAGUUAAGACAACUUGGUUACCAAGUUUGGUUAACUUGGUGAUCAAGCCAAAUUCUCACUAUAUAUACACCAUGAUCUCUCCAUAAUCUAACAUAGAUUGAUAUCUCUCAUCACACACAAAAGACACCACUUUCUCUCACUAGAAAAAAAAAUACUCUUUAGACUUUUUCUUUAAAGUAUGUGUCUCGAGAGUAUAUCGUAGUAGUUAAGUUCGUAGAUUCUGUUUCGGGUGUUGCGAAACGGUCUCAUCACGGUUGUAUCCCGGGAUUCAAAAAUCGCAUAAAAACCGUCACAAAUUACAGGCGAUUUAUUGAGUUAAGGAAAGAGAUCAAAUCUCGACUCCGUGAAUUCGUCUAUUUCCUUACGAUUUCUUAAACGUUAAUUUCAGUCUUUUUAUUAUUGUGUAUAUGUUUUUUGUUUCGUAAUUUUCAAUCAGGAUUCUUGCGGUCCUACAUUCUUAACUCAAUAAAUCCGCUUCAUGCUUAUCGCUUGAAUACAAUCUUAACUCAAUAAAUCUGCUUCCUGCUUAUCGUUUGCUUCGGAUUGAAUAUUGCGAACAAUAUUAAAAAAAAAACGAUUUUAUAAAAUGUUUCUAAAUCGAUCUGAAACAGUUCUAAGAACGCUCUUUAUCUAUUCUUCAGAACGUUUUGGUACAAAAGAUAUAUCAUCUUUAGAAAAUGAUUUACGUGACAUUCAUUGAAAGGUUCACGAUCUCAUUUUCUAAAAAAAAAUUAAAAAAUAGUGUUUAAGAUAGCCUUAUGACGAAAUCUGAAAAAAACUAUUAAAAAUUCAAGAACGCUUUUAUGCGAUUCUGAGGACACAUAUUAAAAGUUCAAGAACGCUUUAAAUCGAUUAUGAGGACAAAUAUUAGAAGUUCAAGAACCCUUUUUAUGCGAUUCUGAGAACUACUAUUAAAAAGUUUAAGAAUGCCUUAUAGGUGAUUUCUGUGGACGACUAUGUGAUUCCUGAGAAUGCUUAUUGUAAGCGAAUUAAUAUUUUUAAUCACUUAUUUUGAGUUCUCAAUAAUUACUGUGGUUUGUGUUUUUGUGAAUAGAUUCCACGAUGACUAAUAAUCUCUCUGACAUUAAGUCAAUCAAUGAGUUACAAAUUUAAACUCUUAACAUAAGUAUUGUAUUAUGAAUAAAUAUAAGAAGAUUGAGUCCAUAAUAUUUGGAUAAAUCUAUAAGAUUGAGUCCACAAUAUCUAGAUAAAUUUAAGUCUAAUGAUUGAGUCUAAAUAAUUUUUAAUGGAUAAAUCUGAAAGACGAUGUCCAAAUAAUUAAACAAAAAAUUUCUUUUGAAUAUAUCUAAAUCUAAGAAUAUAUCUAAAUCUAAGGAUUAAAGAUUGCAUUCAAAUAAUUAUGGAAUAUUUUGUUAAGACCAGUGAGACGAUAACCCUAAUUGGAAAUGUUCAUCCACUUGGAUUGAUUUGUCUAUACCUAGUAAAACCACUAUAUAAUGAGUUAAAUACUUCCAUGAAACUUUAAGUUUUGAUAUGGAGAAAUCAAGGCUAAAGAACACAAGCUCGAGAAGUUUGCAAUGACAAACAAUCUAAGCAAAGAGUUGUGAUUCUUCAUGCAUGAGAUAAAGACUGCAUGUAUGACAAUUUAUUUGCAUACUAGGUCUAUCGUUAAAAGUGGAAAAUUUCAUAAAAACUAUCUCUCAUAAGCAAAGGCUGAGAGACGAUGUCCAAAUAAAACAAGAGUGAUUGGAACUAGGAAAGCCAAAAAUAUAUAAAUCACAAAGCAUAUGUCAUCACAAUUGUGAACAUAAAACAAGAGUGAUUGGAACUAGGAAAGCCUAAAGUUCGUAUUAAAUUAUGCAUUAGCUUUAGAAAGCAACAUGUUUAAAAGAAAGUUUCAAAAAGCUGACACACUUCGCAGCAGGGCUGACGAAUGUUGUAGCAAUAUUAUUUUACAUAGAGAAAAAGUGAAAUCUCAAACCAAUUUGAUAAAAACUGACACAUGAAGUGUACUUUUGGGUCAAUGUUCCAUAAUAUAAUGGAAUAUAUAUGGCAACUUAAAUGAGAAUUAAUGUGUUCUUAAGAGAAUUAACAUUGUUCCUCAUAAGAAUUGCUCCUUUAUUCACUAGAAUCCAAUGAAUUUGCGGAACAAAAGUUCUAAACUUUUAACGGAUGAACGCAAGCAUGCAUGAUUCUGAGUUAUCUCAGGAAAUGUUGGGGGGGGGAGCGUUGCUAAUUACCAAAUUAAAAUAUUGGCAAGAGGCCAUGUACUUUGAAAAGGUAAUGUACAUUCAUACAAAUACUUCAAAGUGUGGGGGCGUAAGCAAAAGUCGUUGUACUAACUCCUAAAAUGUGGAGGUGCUUAGCAAAAUCUUGAAUAACUUCUAAAUAAACGUUAUUGGCUAGGUUCACCAUGUAAUCUGAGUUCAUUGUUUUAGACAAAGAAGCUGAAACAGCAGAGUGUCUACAUAAUUUUGGAAGAUAUUAAUAUGUCAGAGAAACCAGUCCGGUUCUACGCUUAAUCAAUCGGCUAUAGCUCGAGCACUGGAUAUUCUCUAUAAUGGUAAGUCACAUCAAACAAAAUAGGUUAAAGCACUGAAACCUACCCAUACUCCAAGAUGAUAACAGUGCUUUUGUAAAUGUAAGGUUAAGCAUUGACUUUUAAUGAGAUAAGACUAUGGUCUUCAUAUACAUGUAUAUAAAGUAUUACAGGUUAUUCUAUUGUGUAUAUGAAAGGUACACAUGGCAAUCACCUAGUGAGUGUAAAAUUAGGCCGAUUCUAGGAGAAUGAAGUUUAGGCUAUACUCUCCAAGUUCACUCAUGACCUACCAGGCAAGUUCACGGCCAAAGUGAACACAAUAGAGAACUUAACUCUAUGAGAAAACGCAUUUGUGUUAUAUCUGCUUUCUCGGUUUACAUAAACUUUCGGGGGGUUCAAGACAUCAUGUUCACCACCUGAAAAGUAAAUCCGGCAGAUACUAACAGUGAGUAGUUCAAGGCUGAAAUACGCUACUACAUCAUAUACAGCUUCAGGUAUCUCUGCAAAUAUCAUGUGGGAUCUAUCUAGUGUAGUGUUUAGAGUAAAUUAUAUUCAUGUGGGGGAUUGUAGGAACAAUUUAUUAUAAACCCAAUGGACUGAGUAAUAAUUGGGUUUGUGAACAAAAAUUUUUUGGCAAGCCCAAGAGGCUGAGUAAGAGAUUGAUUUUAUGUGAAUGAUUAUGGGGAGUAUUAGACUCAUUUUACAAGCCAAAGAGCUGAGUAAAAUUGAUGUUUGGGCUUUUAAUUUUUAAAAAAAUAUUUUGAGAAACUUGGUGGCCAAGUUUAGCCAAUUGGUGGCCAAGUUAAGCCAAAUUAGUGGCCAAGUUAAGACAACUUGGUUACCAAGUUUGGUUAACUUGGUGAUCAAGCCAAAUUUUCACUAUAUAUACACCAUGAUCUCUCCAUAAUCUAACAUAGAUUGAUCUCUCUCAUCACACACAAAAGACACCACUUUCUCUCACUAGAAAAAGAAAAAAAAAUACUCUUUAGAUUUUUUUUUCUUUAAAGUAUGUGUCUCGAGAGUAUAUCGUAGUAGUUAAGUUCGUAGAUUCUGUUUCGGGUGUUGCGAAACAGUUUCAUCACGGUUGUAUCAUGGGAUUCAAAAAUCGCAUAAAAACCGUUUUUUUUUCGAUUUAUUGAGUUAAGGAAAAAUAUCAAAUCUCGACUCCAUGAAUUAGUCUAUUUUCUUACGAUUUCUUAAAACGUUUUCAGUCUUUUUAUUACUGUGUAUAUGUUUUUUGCUUUGUAAUUUUCAAUCAAGAUUAUCGCGGUCCUAGGUGGCUUGGACCGCAAUGAUUAAAGGUUACACCUCUUCUAAUCACAACGCAUGCGCUUGGCAGUGUUUUCGUGGAUGCUCCAGGCAAGAAACAAGACCAAAUGAGUUCACACUCUCGAGUGUUGUAGAAACCACAAGGUUUGGCUUAUUGGGUUGUUAUUAAACUCUGCAUGGAAGGUUCUGUCGACGUCGACAAUGCCUUAAUGAAUGUGUACGCUACUUGUUCCGCAAAAAGGGACACUGCUUAUGUGCUAUGUAUGCGUCUAUCCAUUGUGUUUAUGUUUCCCGCAUAGCUUUUGAUGCAGCGUUAUAUAUAUUAAUACAUCUAUGGUGCAGACAAUCGUAAUGUGUCAUAUUUAUUGUUACAUUUUCCUGGUUGCGUCUCAAGUUAUAUAUACUAUUCAUAUCUUCAA